UACGUAGGGGCUAGCGUUAUCCGGAAUUACUGGGCGUAAAGGGUGCGUAGGUGGUUUCUUAAGUCAGAGGUGAAAGGCUACGGCUCAACCGUAGUAAGCCUUUGAAACUGAGAAACUUGAGUGCAGGAGAGGAGAGUAGAAUUCCUAGUGUAGCGGUGAAAUGCGUAGAUAUUAGGAGGAAUACCAGUUGCGAAGGCGGCUCUCUGGACUGUAACUGACACUGAGGCACGAAAGCGUGGGGAGCAAACAGGAUUAGAUACCCGCGUAGUCCCUGAG
rnacentral:rRNA from 1 species